AUUGAACGCUGGCGGCAGGCCUAACACAUGCAAGUCGAACGAGUGGCGGACGGGUGAGUAAUGUCUUGGAAACUGCCCGAUGGAGGGGGAUAACUAAUGGAAACGGUAGCUAAUACCGCAUACCGUCGGUUCUGCCCAGAGGGGAUUAGCUAGUCGGUGGGGUAACGGCUCACCAAGGCUACGAUCCCUAGCUGGUCUGAGAGGCUGACCAGCAACACUGGAACUGAGACACGGUCCAGACUCCUACGGGAGGCAGCAGUGGGGAAUAUUGCACAAUGGGCGCAAGCCUGAUGCAGCCAUGCCGCGUGUAUGAAGAAGGCCUUCGGGUUGUAAAGUACUUUCAGCGGGGAGGCGUUACUCGCAGAAGAAGCACCGGCUAACUACGUGCCAGCAGCCGCGGUAAUUC
rnacentral:rRNA from 1 species